GGGGCCAAAUCACUUUAUGGGGGAGACUGGGGGCUGGUUCGCACCCUCCCCUCUCUCCCUGGCCUGCUCUGGCUCCCCCAGGGUUUGAGGAAUCUCCUAAUUCUCACAACACCCCAACCUCCAAACCUUUAAAAUAAAUCUUUGCCAUGGAGGGUGGCCUUGGAGGGGCCUGAUCUCCGCUGGAAGCUUCCAGUAGCCCCAGAGUAUGUGGCAGCUACUGAGAGGGGCUUGGCCUUUGACAAGUGGUAGACAGGCCCCGUUUUAAGUCAGCCAGGGACCCUCUGAGGUGCAUUUUAGAGAAUGUUUUCCUUCUUUCCCACCUGAGGCUGGGCCAGGCCCCAGUAGCUUGGGGGAGGGGAGCUGAAGGGGACCGGUGCCGUUCUGCAGCCAUCCAGGGUGACUCGGGCCCUUUGAGGGCAGCCCAGGGUACAGUAGAGGGCUCAGCCUGGGAUGGUGUCUGUCCCUCGCCCUGCUGAACCCCUGCCCCUUUGAAGGACAGACGGACAGAGCUGGGCGGGGCUGGUGAGGGGAAGAGCCAGUGCCCACAGCUGCCCUGGCCAGUGGUGGGAGGGAGGGUGGGGGAGCAGCAGACUGGACUCAGUGACCUAAGCUGGGGGUCAGAGGUCACUGAGGUUGGAGGCAGCCCGUUGGAGACCCAAAGAGAGGCAGAGAGCCCCAACCCAAGCCGAGAAGGACAGAGCAGAGGAGGAUACGAUGCUGAGGCCGAGGAGGGGUGAAGAACUUCUCUUUCCACCUCCUGGAGAGGCGGUGAAGACAGAACCCAAGGAGCGGGCAGGACUAUUUUAAGACCUAGGCUGGGUCAUCCUGCUUUCCAAGGCUGCACCCCACCAUCUGUCACUGCCGAUACAGGAAGACAAACCCACAUCUUGUGUGAAAUAUGAUGUGUGCUCAACUCCACAGAGCCAUGUUGCAACUGGCUAGUUGGAAGAAUGUUAUGCUUGAUAGACAUUUAAUUAAAUGGUUGUGAAUUUUGAUUUCACAGUUUUUACCUGGUAUUUUGAAGCCAACCAUUCCCGGUCCCCGCCCUCACUGUUUUCAGAUUCUUC
rnacentral:lncRNA from 1 species